rnacentral:rRNA from 1 species
UCCUGCCUGCCCUGUGAUUAAUUUAACGGCCGCGGUAUCCUAACCGUGCAAAGGUAGCAUAAUCAAUUGUCCUUUAAAUUAGGACUAGUAUGAACGGCCCCACGAGGGUUAAACUGUCUCCCUCCUUAAAUCAAUGAAAUUAAUUUUCCUGUGAAGAAGCAGGAAUAAAAAUAUAAGACGAAAAGACCCCAUGGAGCUUUAAACUUAUUAUCACUUAUCUAAUUAUAUACCAACUUAAAUGAUAAAAGUGUUUAAUAGCUUUCGGUUGGGGCGACCCUGGAGAAAAAUAAAUCCUCCAGAUUGAAAAUAAUAACCCUUAUACGAGAAUAACAAUUCAAGUAAUCAAAAAUUUGACAAAACUGACCCAGAACUAACUGAUCAGUGAACCAAGUUACCCUGGGGAUAACAGCGCAAUCCAUUUCAAGAGCCCUUAUCGACAAAUGGGUUUACGACCUCGAUGUUGGAUCAGGAUAUCCCAGCAGCGCAGCUGUUGCUAAUGGUUCGUUUGUUCAACGAUUAAUACCCUACGUGAUCU